CAACUACUCCCUCUGUCUCAAAUUUCUUGUCUUAGAUUUGUCUAGAUACGGAUGUAUCUAAUACUAAAAUGUGACUUGAUACAUCCGUAUCUAGACAAAUCUAAGACAAGAAUUUUGGGACGGAGGGAGUACUNN
rnacentral:pre_miRNA from 1 species